UAGUAACUGCGAGUGAAGCGGGAAAAGCUCAAAUUUAAAAUCUGGCAGUCUUUGGCUGUCCGAGUUGUAGUCUGGAGAAGCGUUUUCCGCGCUGGACCGUGUACAAGUCUCCUGGAACGGAGCGUCAUAGAGGGUGAGAAUCCCGUCUUUGACACGGACUACCAGUGCUUUGUGAUGCGCUCUCAAAGAGUCGAGUUGUUUGGGAAUGCAGCUCAAAAUGGGUGGUAAACUCCAUCUAAAGCUAAAUAUUGGCGAGAGACCGAUAGCGAACAAGUACCGUGAGGGAAAGAUGAAAAGCACUUUGGAAAGAGAGUUAAACAGUACGUGAAAUUGCUGAAAGGGAAACGCUUGAAGUCAGUCGCGUCUGCUAGAACUCAGCCUAGCCUCGGCUUGGUGCAUUUUCUAGUAGACGGGCCAGCAUCACUUUUGGUUGCGGGAUAAAGGUCGCAGGAAUGUGGCACCUUCGGGUGUGUUAUAGCCUGUGAUUGUAUACCGUGGCUGGGAGUGAGGAACUCAGCACGCUCACGCUGUGCUUAGGAUGCUGGCGUAAUGGCUUUAAACGACCCGUCUUGAAACACGGACCAAGGAGUCUAACAUGCCUGCGAGUGUUUGGGUGGAAAACCCGAGCGCGUAAUGAAAGUGAAAGUUGGGACCUCUGUCGUGGAGGGCACCGACGCCCGGACCAGACCUUCUGUGACGGAUCCGCGGUAGAGCAUGUAUGUUGGGACCCGAAAGAUGGUGAACUAUGCCUGAAUAGGGUGAAGCCAGAGGAAACUCUGGUGGAGGCUCGUAGCGAUUCUGACGUGCAAAUCGAUCGUCAAUUUGGGUAUAGGGGCGAAAGACUAAUCGAACCAUCUAGUAGCU
rnacentral:rRNA from 1 species